GAUGUAUCUGUAAUCUUAUUGUCCUGUGCAACCAACACCAUAAGGCCCAUGCCCAUCCCAAGGGGAAAAAAAAGGCACAAAUAAGCUUUGCUAAUGAAAUUGAAAAACAAAAAUAAUUCAUUACAAAGACAGAAAAGUAGCAAAAGAUAACCAAACAGAGAAGAGUAGCAUUAAAAAAUAAAUAAUCCACAACAUCUAACGAUUAAAUUGGUAUAGGAAAUAAACAAACCAAAUGAUCAUAUUCGUCGUCAU
rnacentral:misc_RNA from 1 species